AAUGUAAAUUUAAUAGUCUCCUGAAAGCUUGUGAUUUUCCACACAGCGGAGUUUUCAUACGCAGCGACG